rnacentral:pre_miRNA from 1 species
AAUAAGUACAGUUAUACACUUUUUAUGUUCAACUGUUCGAUUGAGAAAAUUUUUUAUAAUUAGUAUUUUUGUUGUUAUUAGAUGAUAAAAUACAAACAGUAUUUUAUGUGUGAUUAUUUUUUUAAUUUUUUUUAUAAUUUUUUUAAAAUAAGAUGGUUGGUUAAACGUUGAACCCGGAAAUUCACGACUACACUUAUU